rnacentral:rRNA from 1 species
AUUGAACGCUGGCGGCAUGCCUAACACAUGCAAGUCGAGCGGAGCGGCGGACGGGUGAGUAAUGCCUAGGAAUCUGCCCGGUAGUGGGGGAUAACGUCCGGAAACGGGCGCUAAUACCGCAUACUAUCAGAUGAGCCUAGUGCGGAUUAGCUAGGUGGUGGGGUAACGGCCUACCAAGGCGACGAUCCGUAGCUGGUGUGAGAGGAUGAUCAGUCACACUGGAACUGAGACACGGUCCAGACUCCUACGGGAGGCAGCAGUGGGGAAUAUUGGACAAUGGGCGAAAGCCUGAUCCAGCCAUACCGCGUGUGUGAAGAAGGUCUUCGGAUUGUAAAGCACUGUAAUUAGGGAAGCGGUACCUACAGAAAAAGCACCGGCUAACUUCGUGCCAGCAGCCGCGGUAAUUC